CCUACGGGUGGCAGCAGUGGGGAAUAUUGCACAAUGGGCGCAAGCCUGAUGCAGCCAUGCCGCGUGUGUGAAGAAGGCCUUCGGGUUGUAAAGCACUUUCAGCGAGGAGGAAGGUGGUGAGCUUAAUACGCUCAUCAAUUGACGUUACUCGCAGAAGAAGCACCGGCUAACUCCGUGCCAGCAGCCGCGGCAAUACGGAGGGUGCAAGCGUUAAUCGGAAUUACUGGGCGUAAAGCGCACGCAGGCGGUUUGUUAAGGCAGAUGUGAAAUCCCCGGGCUCGACCUGGGAACUGCAUUUGAAACUGGCAAGCCAGAGUCUCGUAGAGGGGGGUAGAAUUCCAGGUGUAGCGGUGAAAUGCGUAGAGAUCUGGAGGAAUACCGGUGGCGAAGGCGGCCCCCUGGACGAAGACUGACGCUCAGGUGCGAAAGCGUGGGGAGCAAACAGGAUUAGAUACCCGAGUAGUC
rnacentral:rRNA from 1 species